rnacentral:lncRNA from 1 species
ACUCUCUUCUACCUCUUUCCUUUAGCUGACAGAGACAGGCCGAGGAGAGAGGAGAGAGAACCAGCCAGAGAGGCAGCCCCCAGGCCAAGCACCAGAUCUAGUCCCACUCAGAGGCGGAAAAAGCCAGCCAGAAAUAGCCCUACCCAAAGUCGAAGAGAGACGCGCAGACGCAGUCCCAGUCCCACUCCAAGUCGUAGAGAGCCAGCCAGUCCCAGUCCCACUCCAAGUCGUAGAGAGCCAGCCAGUCCCAGUCCCACUCCAAGUCGUAGAGAGCCAGCCAGUCCCAGUCCCACUCCAAGUCGUAGAGAGCCAGCCAGACCCAGCCCUACGCCCAGCCGGAGAGAGACACCCAGACCAGAACCCACCACCACCCCUACCCCCGGUGCUGUUACCCAAGCCACCCCAGCCUCAGGAGCUUUCAGCCGGAUGGGAUCCAUAGCAAGUCUCUUCCGCUCCCAUCGACGUGCCACACCGGCACCUGGGCCAGUCAACAACAACACUGGUGGAGUUGACCCAUGGGGGAUGGGUGCACUGACUGAAUCCCAACCGGAAGUGAAUACCAGCCUUUUCCUGGAUCCGCCGACCCCUGACCCCAUCAUGAAUCAGAUGCCAGCUUUCCCUGCAUUGAGGGAGAUAGACAUCUCCAGCAUCCAGGCCCCAGAGCCCAGGAGCAGAGAGGAGUUCCUGCAGUGUGAGUAUAGAACAGCUAAACAUCUACACAGACACAGCCUGUUCCAGUUAGCUCCCUACCGUGUGGCCUUGGCCCUCACCCUUCCAUGUUCGCAGACAUGAAGGGAAAGGUAUGAGCAUUGUAGCAUCCACCAUAUUGAUUACAACUUUCAGAUCUGAAAACUUCAGAAGGUUGGGGCCAAGGGGAAGGAGUACUCACAACAGCUGACAACCAAAUCUGCAAAGUCCUUAUCCCCACAACUUAACUAUUCAUCCAUCCAUCCCUCCACUCUUCCCUCCCCCAGAUGCCUGUACCUUGACCCUAGACACGAGGACAGCCCACCGGCGUCUGACCCUGUCGGAGAGCAACACCAAGGCCACCCUACAGGGGGCACGGCAACCCUAUCCAGACUGCCCCCAACGCUUCGACGGCUGGACCCAGGUGCUGUGCCAGGCCCCUCUUUCCGCCCAGCGAUGUUAUUGGGAGGUGGAUUGGCGGGGGAGGGGGUCAUCAAUGGGUGUGGCUUAUGGAGCCCUGAGCAGGAAGGGGGCGGACGCCAGGGCGGGGUUUGGCUACAACGCCCAAUCAUGGAGCCUGGAGCUGUCGGAUACGUGUUGCACGGCAAUGCAUGACAAUGAGAAGAGGGACAUCCCGGUGACGUACUCGCCGCGUCUGGGGUUGUUCCUGGACCUCAACGCGGGCACCCUGGCGUUCUAUAGCGUGGCGGAGAGCAUGGCGCACCUGCACACGUUCCGUGCCAACUUUACACAGCCACUGUAUGCGGCCUUCGGGGUGGGAAGUGGGGUUGGUGUUGGACUGGACUUCGCUCUGGGUCAGUUCAGCCAGACAUCCGACAGCAUCAAGAUCUGCCCCAUGUGACGAGACCUACGACCUCUGUAUAGAUCUGCCCCAUGUGAGGAGACCUACGACCUCUGUAUAGAUCUGCCCCGUGUGAGGAGACCUAUGACCUCUGUAUAGAUCUGCCCCAUGUGAUGAGACCUACGACCUCUGUAUAGAUCUGCCCCAUGUGAUGAGACCUACGACCUCUGUAUAGAUCUGCCCCAUGUGAUGAGACCUACGACCUCUGUAUAGAUCUGCCCUGUGUGACGUGACCAAUGACCUCUGUAUAGAUCUGCCCCAUGUGAGACCUACGACAUCUGUAUAGAUCUGCCCCAUGUGACAUGACCUACGUAAUGUGACCUACGACCUCUGAUCCCCAUCUGCUAUCACCGCUUUAUAUGACAUAAUUUAACGAGAAAUAGUUUGUUUCCUAAACAUUUACAGAACAGCCCAAGUGCUGCACUUCUGACAAACAAAUUACAUACAAACACUAAUAGAAGACUGAACUGACAAAUGGUGUCACACACACACACACACCACACACACACCACACACACACCACACACACACACACACCACACACACACAUUAUAAGACAAUAAAUAUAAGACAACCAAAUCAUUUCUCAUUUCCUUUAUUAAAGCAAAAGCACCAAAAAGGUCAUCUUGGGUAUUUUAUGAAGCAUGGAGGAGAGGCGCCAGGUCCAAAACCAAUAAUGGACACUUCCAACUACACAGAGCCCAUAACAACCUCCACCAUCACCCAUCAGCUACAUUCAAUAGAGCCAACGGUGUGAAUCAUAGAACUAGAUGCAAUAGAACGAACAGCCUCUCCUCCUAUACCUCCCCCAGAGCAGAAAGCCUAGUAUAAAACUGAUGCUCUUUCCUCGUGGUUACAUAGGUAAUAGGUAUUACAACACACACAAGCCAACACAAAGCAUUUCACUGUAUUUAAAAAUGAGUUUUGGUUUGCACUGAUAUACAGUUUUAAAAACAUGACAGCUUGGAUUCCCUUUUCAAUGGUUCAUCACACAAUGGAGGCACAACAAAACAUCUAAAAUAAAUGUCUACAUGAAAUGCUAAAUAACUUAUUACCUUUGAUAAUGAUACAGUAUUUGAUGCUAUAACCUAGUCUAAAUAUCAAUAUUUGUCACUAAUAAUAUUUCCUAACUAGUGAUCUCUGUAAAUCAGGUUAAAAAGUGCAGUACAUGAGUGGGACAGGUCAUAUGGACGGACGGUAAGGAAAUUGGCAUAGCAGGGACGUCUGAGAGUCACACCAGGGGUCAAGUAUGGGUCAAAGGGCACCGGGUCAAAGGGUCACACACUAGUCUAGCUAGCUUGAAAUACAGAACCUGUCUUGCUAGCAUUCCAGGUCAUGUACUCUGUGUCAUGUGAACACAGACAGGUACCCAGGCUCUAGUCUAGGCCCUCCCCACUACACACUCCAGUAGACCUGAAAGGAAUAACAAUAGUGGAUUUGUUUGACCUUGACCUCUGAUAGGCUAGCUGGAAUUUCCCCAGAAUGCUUAGGCUCUGCCGCUACACCCAUCAAGUCCUUUCAGAUUUAAAAUAAACAGCAUUACAGUGGAAGGUACUAGAGGCCGUUAGUCUCAUAGCUGUUCAAUAUCACACAACACCAUGCUGCCCUCUACUGGCCGCUGAGUGAAUAGAGUACCUUUAAAGACCAUAACCACAGUAAUAGUGAACCAUACAUGAGAUGAGACUCAGAGCUAACCUGCAUCAAAACAUAGUACACCCACUACUACCUAGGAUGCUGAUGGUUCCCCGUUUGGGACCAAACCUCUUGUACCAGGAGCAUGUUGAGGAGGUAAACGUUGUGGAACGUUAGAACUUGUUCUGCAUAUAUUUCUACUGGAACAUUCCACAAUGGUGUGCCCUAAUGAACGCAGACCUGAGCACGCCAUGGGCCUGAGAUAAGCGACUACCAUGUUCUCCGUUUCCAGUCAAUAACCUUGUAACCUUCCAUCCCAAAUCGACCUCUAAGCCCUAUGCACUUGUGGGGAGUCUGUCAGGAUUUGACAGGUGUAAGCAAUUUGGUAAUACAUCUACCGUGCCCUCUGAUAGGCUAGGUGGAAGUUUCACCAUAUUGGUUAUACCAAUCAAAUCCUCUCAGAUCUCCACAAGCUGAGGAAUAGUCCAUCCCAGCUGCAUCCUAGCCUGGUUCC